GGCGGCGUGCCUAAUACAUGCAAGUCGAGCGGAGCUGAUGAGAAGCUUGCUUCUCUGAGGCUUAGCGGCGGACGGGUGAGUAACACGUAGGCAACCUGCCUGUAAGACUGGGAUAACUAGCGGAAACGUUAGCUAAUACCGGAUAGUUCUUGUCCCUGCAUGGGGACAAGAGGAAAGAGGGUUCUGCUCUCACUUACAGAUGGGCCUGCGGCGCAUUAGCUAGUAGGUAGGGUAAUGGCCUACCUAGGCGACGAUGCGUAGCCGACCUGAGAGGGUGAUCGGCCACACUGGGACUGAGACACGGCCCAGACUCCUACGGGAGGCAGCAGUAGGGAAUCUUCGGCAAUGGGCGAAAGCCUGACCGAGCAACGCCGCGUGAGUGAGGAAGGCCUUCGGGUCGUAAAGCUCUGUUGCCAGGGAAGAACGCUCGCCUGUUAACUGCAGGCGGGGUGACGGUACCUGAGAAGAAAGCCCCGGCUAACUACGUG
rnacentral:rRNA from 1 species